GACGAACGCUGGCGGCGUGCUUAUCACAUGCAAGUCGAACGCUGAAGCUCAGCUUUUGUUGGGUGGAUGAGUGGCGAACGGGUGAGUAGCACGUGAGUAACCUGCCCCCUUCUUUGGGAUAACGCCCGGAAACGGGUGCUAAUACUGGAUAUUCACUGGUCUUCGCAUGGGGGUUGGUGGAAAGGGUUUUUCUGGUGGGGGAUGGGCUCGCGGCCUAUCAGCUUGUUGGUGGGGUGAUGGCCUACCAAGGCUUUGACGGGUAGCCGGCCUGAGAGGGUGACCGGUCACAUUGGGACGGAGAUACGGCCCAGACUCCGACGGGAGGCAGCAGUGGGGAAUAUUGCACAAUGGGCGCAAGCCUGAUGCAGCGACGCCGCGUGAGGGAUGGAGGCCUUCGGGUUGUGAACCUCUUUCGCUCAUGGUCAAGCCGCAACAAUGGUUGUGGUGAGGGUAGUGGGUAAAGAAGCGCCGGCUAACUACGUG
rnacentral:rRNA from 1 species